rnacentral:pre_miRNA from 18 species
AACCAUACGGGAUAAUCAUUUUCGCGUGUGGUCGGGUUAAGUGGACCGUACGGGAUAACCGAUUAUCCCGUUCGGUU